rnacentral:rRNA from 1 species
UCUGAUCACGUAUCUAGAUUGAACGCCAUGGAUGCUUUACACAUGCAAGUCGAACGGCAGCACUGACUUCGGUCUGGUGGCGAGGGCGAACGGUGAGUAAAUGUACCGGAACGUGCCCAGUAGCGGGGGAUAACUACGAAAGCGGUGUAGCUAAUACCGCAUACGCCCUUCGGGGGAAAGCGGGGACCUCGGGCCUGCACCAUUAGAGCGGCCGAUAUCGGAUUAGCUAUUGGUGCACGGCCUGGCGACGAUCCGUAGCUGGUUUGAGAGGAUCAUCUGCGCCACACUGGGACUGAGACACGGCCCAGACUCCUACGGGAGGCAGCAGGGGAAUUUUGACAACGGGAAAUCCCUGAUCCAGCCAUCCCCGCGUGUGAUGAAGGCCUCGGAAGCCAAAGCACUUUGGCAGGAAAGAAACGGCACGUGGGAUAAUACCUGUGCAACUGACGGUGGCCUGAGAAUAAGCACCGGUUAACUACGCCACAGCCGCGUAAUACGUAGGGUGCAAGUUAAUCGGAAUUACUGGGCGCAGCGCAGGCGGUUCGAAAAAGAAAGAUGAAAUCCCAGAGCUUAACUUUGAACUGCAUUUUUAACUACCGAGCUGAGAGUGCCAACAGGAAAGGAAAUCUUGCGUAGCAGUGUCGUGUAGAUAUGGAGGAACACCGAUGGCGAAGGCAGCCUCCUGGGAUAACACUGACGCUCAUGCACGAAAGCGUGGGGAGCAAACAGGAUUAGAUACCCUGGUAGUCCACGCCCUAAACGAUGCUAGCUGUUGGGGCCUUCGGGCCUUGGUAGCGCAGCUAACGCGUGAAGUUGACCGCCUGGGGAGUACGGUCGCAAGAUUAAAACUCAAAGGAAUUGACGGCACCCGCACAAGCGGUGGAUGAUGUGGAUUAAUUCGAUGCAACGCGAAAAACUCAAUACCUACCCUUGACAUGUUCCGAAUCCUGAAGAGAUUUGGGAGUGCUCGCAAGAACUGGAACACAGGUGCUGCAUGGCUGUCGUCAGCUCGUGUCGUGAGAUGUUGGGCUAAGUCCCGCAACGAGCGCAACCCUUGUCAUUAGUUGCUACGAAAGGGCACUCAAUGAGAUCGCCGGUGACAAACCGGAGGAAGGUGGACACGUCAAGUCCCUGCGGCCUUUAUGGGUAGGGCUUCAUACGUCAUACAAUGGUCGGGACAGGAGGGCCGCCAACCUGGCGAGGGAGCCAUCCCAGAAACCGAUCGUAGUCCGGAUCGCAGUCUGCAACUCGACUGCGUAGUCGGAAUCGCUAGUAAUCGCGGAUCAGCAUGUCGCGGUGAAUACGUUCCUGGCCCGGUACAUUAACGCCCGUCACACCAUGGGAGUGGGUUUUACCAGAAGCAGUUAGCCUAACCGCGAGGCGAUUACCACGGUAGGAUUCAUGACUGGGGUGAAGUCAACAAGGUAGCCCCAGCGCUACCUGAUG